AGAGUUUGAUCCUGGCUCAGAACGAACGCUGGCGGCAGGCUUAACACAUGCAAGUCGAACGCCCCGCAAGGGGAGUGGCAGACGGGUGAGUAACGCGUGGGAACAUACCCCUCGGUUCGGAAUAGCUCAGGGAAACUUGGAUUAAUACCGGAUAAGCCCUUACGGGGAAAGAUUUAUCGCCGAAAGAUUGGCCCGCGUCUGAUUAGCUAGUUGGUGAGGUAACGGCUCACCAAGGCGACGAUCAGUAGCUGGUCUGAGAGGAUGAUCAGCCACAUUGGGACUGAGACACGGCCCAAACUCCUACGGGAGGCAGCAGUGGGGAAUAUUGGACAAUGGGCGCAAGCCUGAUCCAGCCAUGCCGCGUGAGUGAUGACGGCCUUAGGGUUGUAAAGCUCUUUCGUCAGGGACGAUAAUGACGGUACCUGAAGAAGAAGCCCCGGCU
rnacentral:rRNA from 1 species